rnacentral:rRNA from 1 species
AGAGCGGCGAGCGACAGGAAGAGCUCAGCACCAACCUCGCGCGCCCGGCAAAGCGACGCAGAGGAAUGUGGUGUUUGGGAGAACCGUGCGUGUCUGUCCGGUAUAUUCAUCCAAGUCUCCAUGACGGGGCGAGCAACCCCACAGAGGGUGUCAGGCCCGAAGCCAAUAGCCGCCGACCCCGGAAGAUGAGCCCCCCC